rnacentral:lncRNA from 1 species
CCCACUUUUGGCAAUAGAGAGGAGAAAAAAAAAUAACAAGAAAAUGACCAUGGAAAGUAACAACAACUGAAAACGGAUAAAAUGAAGAUGUGUGAAAGAGCACAAGAGUGCAAAACCAAAAGUAUACAAGGAGUGUUUAUGCAGUAACCACUUUAGAAUGCCUUUCCUCAUGUUUGAAGACUUCUAAACUAGGGCAAGGACAGAUCCCAGCAACUACUGGAAGCAUAAUAAAGGAGAAGAAUGAGGCAUUUUCUUCUCUCAUAUACAGAUUAUAUGUAAUUAGGAUGCUAAGGAUAAUUUUGUAACAUAAAAACGGAGAUGCUAAGGAGAAUGGUUUCACCCUAGUUUAUAGAAGGAGGGUAUACUAUGGUCUAUCAAAGACUGAAAAUUGUCCUCUGCUAAUAAAGUCUCAAAUCAGGG